rnacentral:rRNA from 1 species
GACGAACGCUGGCGGCGUGCUUAACACAUGCAAGUCGAACGGUAAGGCCCUUCGGGGUACACGAGUGGCGAACGGGUGAGUAACGCGUGGGAACGUGCCCUUUGGUUCGGAACAACUCCGGGAAACUGGAGCUAAUACUGGAUAAGCCCUUCGGGGGAAAGAUUUAUCGCCAAAGGAUCGGCCCGCGUCUGAUUAGCUAGUUGGUGGGGUAAUGGCCCACCAAGGCGACGAUCAGUAGGGGGUGUGAGAGCAUGGCCCCCCACAUGGGUACUGAGACACGGACCCAACUCCUACGGGAGGCAGCAGUAAGGAAUAUUGGACAAUGGCCGGAAGGCUGAUCCAGCCAUGCCGCGUGAAGGACGAAGGCGCUCAGCGUUGUAAACUUCUUUUGGACGGGGAUAAUAACGUCGACGCGUUCGGCGCUUGAAGGUACCGUCAGAAUAAGCACCGGCUAACUCCGUGCCAGCCGCCGCUGUAA